AGGCUUGCGUCUGAUUAGCUAGUUGGUGUGGUAACGGCACACCAAGGCUACGAUCAGUAACUGGUCUGAGAGGAUGAUCAGUCACACUGGAACUGAGACACGGUCCAGACUCCUACGGGAGGCAGCAGUGAGGAAUAUUGGGCAAUGUCUCGAAAGAGUGACCCAGCAACGCCGCGUGGAGGAUGAAGGUAUUCUAUAUCGUAAACUCCUGUGAGAGCAGACGAAAGACAGAUUAUUAAUCUGGAUGACUGUAUGCUCAGAGGAAGCCCCGGCUAACUACGUG
rnacentral:rRNA from 1 species